rnacentral:rRNA from 1 species
AUUGUCUGGAAGCAUACGGCUAGUGGAAUCUACUCGGCGGCAUCCGCAUACAAGGCUCAAUUCUUAGGGAUGGUUCUUACACCCUUGGACAAAAUGGUUUGGAAGGCUUGGGCCCCCCCAAAAGUCAAGUUCUUCGUUUGGUUGGCGCUACAAGACAGAAUUUGGACUGCCGAUCGUUUGGCAAAACGUGGGUGGCCCAACUGUGGUCUCUGCCCACUCUGCAUGAGAGUGCAGGAAUGUGGGCCUCACCUCUUCUACAAAUACCGCUACACACGAAGGCUUUGGUCUUUGAUCAUUGACAAAUACCAUAUUCUUGGU